rfam:Perkinsus marinus ATCC 50983 gcontig_1104296667948, whole genome shotgun sequence.
CCGCCGUUGCAUAUGCUGAUUGUAGGAUUGCUGCUCGCUCCUGUCUUCUGCUACUCAUUCACAGACCUGGUCGUGUUGAGCAGUUGUUUGGCAGAUGUUAGUGGUGUUUCCUACUUUCAGUCGUCAGCAUCACUGGCUGAGUGGAAAUAAUCCUUGGAUGCUAAUUGGUUCGCUAUCUGUGAAUUGGUUGCUUCCUUGCGAUACUCACUACUCGGUCAGUGAGGAAGUGCGUUUGCUGGUCAACGAGCUUUCUAACUGUCAUUACCCUGCGCUUUUCGAUUCGUCGAGUGGCCAGGAUGUGGCUUUGAGAUUGUUCGCACUUAGUAAUCGCGAUGCUGGCUUCCAACGGUUGCCUCCGGCCCGUCUUGAAACACGGACCAAGGAGUCUAACGUAUGUGCGAGUGUGUGAGUGGCAAACUUAUACGCGUAAUGAAAGUGAGGCCGUAUGGCCAUGUUGGGGUCACCAACAACCGACCUUGAUCUUCGGUGAAAGGUUUGAGUAUGAGCAUAUCCGUUAGGACCCGAAAGAUGGUGAACUAUGCCUGAGCAGGGUGAAGCCAGGGGAAACUCUGGUGGAGGCUCGUAGCGAUACUGACGUGCAAAUCGUUCGUCAGACUUGGGUAUAGGGGCGAAAGACUAAUCGAACCAUCUAGUAGCUGGUUCCCUCCGAAGUUUCCCUCAGGAUAGCUAGAGUCUUUAUCAGUUUUGUCAGGUAAAGCGAAUGAUUAGAGGUUCCGGGGAAGUAACUUCCUCGACCUAUUCUCAAACUUUAAAUGGGCAAGAUCCAGUAGUUACUUAAUUGAACUAUUGGGGUCAAUGAGACGACUCUAAGUGGGCCAUUUUUGGUAAGCAGAACUGGCGAUGAGGGAUGAACCUAACGCUCGGUUAAAGUGCUAAACUGCUCGCUCAUCAGAUACCACAAAAGGGUGUUGGUCGAUCUUAACAGCAGACGUGGUCAUGGAAGUCGAAAUCCGCUAAGAGUGUGUAACAACUCACCUGCCGAAUCGACUAGCCCCGAAAAUGGAUAGCGCUGAGCGAGUGACCGAUACCGGGCCAUUGUUGCA